rnacentral:rRNA from 1 species
CCCGAUGAACCUGAAUAUCCGUUAUGGAAAAUUCAUCACUAAUACUAUGGUAUAUAUCAUAUUAUAGAAAUAGUGUGCAAUUUUUCCAUAUAAGGACAUUGUAAUCUGUUAAUGUAAUAAAUAUUUAUCAUAAGAUCUUUUACUUAAGUUUAUUCAAAUUAGUUAUUUUCGAAUUUCUAACAUAGAAUAAAUGUAUUAGAUUUGAUAAAUCAUUGACAGAUUUAAUUAUAUAUAGUGCUUAAAUUUUUCGGAAUUUUACAAUGAUGAGUAAAUCUAUUGAUUUAUUUAUAAUUGUAUGCGCUUAUAUGAUUAACAAUGCGAUAGAUUCAGGAUACCUUCGGGACCCGUCUUGAAACACGGACCAAGGAGUCUAACAUAUGUGCAAGUCAUUGGGUAUUUUUAAUAAAACCCAAUGGCAUAAUUAACUUAACUGUUUUAAAUGGGAUUAGUUUAUAUUUUAUUAUGAAAUAUGAAUUCAAUCCCGGGGCGUUCUAUAUAGUUAUGCAUAAUGAUAUUUAUAUUAUUUAUGCCUCUAACUAGAGC